ensembl:snRNA U6 U6 spliceosomal RNA
GUGCUCGCUUCAGUAGCACAUAUACUGAAAUUGGAGCAAUACAGAAAAGAUUAGCAUAGCCCCUGCGCAAGGAUGACACGCAAAUUCAUGAGGCAUUCCAUAUUAAA